rnacentral:rRNA from 1 species
CCCUUAGAUGUUCUGGGCCGCACGCGCGCUACACUGAUGCAUUCAACGAGUCUAAAACCUGCUCUGAUAGGGGUGGGUAAUCUUUUGAAUGUGCAUCGUGAUUGGGAUAGAUGAUUGCAAUUUUUCAUCUUCAACGAGGAAUGCCUAGUAAACGCAAGUCAUCAGCUUGCAUUGAUUACGUCCCUGCCCUUUGUACACACCGCCCGUCGCUCCUACCGAUUGAAUGAUCCGAUGAAUAUCAUGGAUUGAGGAUGCAAGCAGGUUCGCCUGUCUUCAUCUUCGAGAAGUGAAGUAAAUCUUAUCAUUUGGAGGAAGGAGAAGUCGUAACA